UACGGAGGGUGCAAGCGUUAUCCGGAUUCACUGGGUUUAAAGGGUGUGUAGGCGGGUAUUUAAGUCAGUGGUGAAAUCUCCGGGCUCAACCCGGAAACUGCCAUUGAUACUAUUUAUCUUGAAUUCUGUUGAGGUAGGCGGAAUAUAUCAUGUAGCGGUGAAAUGCAUAGAUAUGAUAUAGAACACCGAUUGCGAAGGCAGCUUACUAAACAGAUAUUGACGCUGAGGCACGAAAGCGUGGGGAUCAAACAGG
rnacentral:rRNA from 1 species